rnacentral:rRNA from 1 species
ACCCGCUGAACUUAAGCAUAUCAAUAAGCGGAGGAAAAGAAACCAACAGGGAUUGCCCUAGUAACGGCGAGUGAAGCGGCAACAGCUCAAAUUUGAAAUCUGGCCUCCUUUUGGCGGUCCGAGUUGUAAUUUGCAGAGGGCGCUUUGGCGUCGGCAGCGGUCUAAGUUCCUUGGAACAGGACAUCACAGAGGGUGAGAAUCCCGUACGUGGUCGCCUGCCUUCGCCGUGUAAAGCCCCUUCGACGAGUCGAGUUGUUUGGGAAUGCAGCUCUAAAUGGGAGGUAAAUUUCUUCUAAAGCUAAAUACCGGCCAGAGACCGAUAGCGCACAAGUAGAGUGAUCGAAAGAUGAAAAGCACUUUGGAAAGAGAGUCAAACAGCACGUGAAAUUGUUAAAAGGGAAGCGCUUGCAGCCAGACUUGCUCGCAGUUGCUCAUCUGGGCUUUUGCCCAGAGCACUCUUCUGCGGGCAGGCCAGCAUCAGUUUGGGCGACCGGAUAAUGGCCUCUGUCACGUAUCUUCCUUCGGGAUGACCUUAUAGGGGAGGCGUAGUACAGUCAGCCCGGACUGAGGUCCGCGCAUCUGCUAGGAUGCUGGCGUAAUGGCUGU